GUUUUCCGCCUCUGCCUUGCUUUUCCGGUCGCCGCGGACUAGGCUGCCAGUCUACCCCACCGGGACGUCUGCCCCCGCAUGCAGGAGGGGGUGUGUCGGCCCAACGGGGUCUCAGGACCUGUCCCUGCUCCUCCAAAGCCCACGUCGCCUGCGGCGCCCCUCGGGUCUGCGCCGCGUUCUCCUUUAGCCUCCCGGGCCUCUCCGCUGCCCCUCGCCCCCAGGCACCAGCCACACCUGCUUCCUUCUGUUCCCGCCCGUGGCCUCUGACACGCCGUGCCCUGGACCCGAAAUGCCCGCCCCACUCCUGGAGCCUCCGGUGUGUGAGAGGCACCUUUCCUUGGGGUCAGGGGCCCGGACUCUGAAGCCGGCCUGGCUUUGCCUGUGGGCCCCGAUCCUCCCAGCUCGAGUCCCUCGCCCCAGCCGCCGCGGGCCUUCACCUGUGCUUUGGGGACGACAGGAUGGCCACCCUCCUUCCCCCAAAGAUUUGAGGGUUUUGCUCCACGCGGGAGAAGGUCUGCCUGUGCCACCAGCCGGCAGCCUUUCACAUGCUGUUGCGUUACGGGGCCCUCUGUGACCUUUCCCUAGGCCGAGGGGUGCUUCGUCUCUGUUCCUGAGAGACCAGAAUUUAUUCUUGGUUUGUCAAGCCACAUCUGUAGGAAUGUUGCCCAGUUGCAGCAGGCUGGGGUCUGGGACUUGCUCCUUUGGCGAAUUGAGAAGUAAGGAUAUAGAAGGCAUUUUAGCACUAAUGGAAACCAGAACCACUCUUAGACCUGGGCAAGAGGGGCCCCAGAAAUUAGCAAGCGAUUAGCAAGCAGCUGGAUUUCGAUGACCUCCACUGUACUUAGAGCAACGGCAUUCGAUUCGUUGGAUCAUUUCAAAGAUGACAUACUGGGUUGUUUGUUUGUUUCUGGCGGUGUCUAAAGAUGGAACAUCUUGAAGCAUUUUGAAUUUGACCUGUGGCUACCCUCAGAUACAAUGAUGGUAACCCCAUGAGUGCUGUUAAAGCAAUUUGACUUAUUGUAGACAGGUUAACACAUGAGAUGCGUUAAAAGAGUUAAGUGAAAUAAUAGGCAGCAUUCAAAGAGCAAAUCGUGGUCUUUGGCAGAAAAUAGAGUUAAUUUUGUAUUUGAGCUGUCCAGUUAUUACAAUUAGAAAACGUUUUAAAGAAUCCAAAAGGAUUUAAAAUAUUGCAUAAAGUUUUAGGAGAAAAUGGUUUCCAAAAAGCAACUGCAUAUGAAAUAAGCACUAAAAUGACAUUAAAGUACAAUGUAAGAAAAUCGGAACUAGAAGCAUUUGCUGGAGUCUGAAGAAAAAGAUUUAUGGAUGAAUGAUUCUGAAACUAACUUCUAUAGAGACAAUUUUCCGGCGAUGGUAGAUCAAGGUGUAGAUUGUACUGAAGAGAGAGAUUCAAACAAAGUGAGUAAUCUACCGCAGUUUUCAGUUUUCUUGGUAAUACCCCAACAACGUAAAAGAAAAACGUAAGAAAUCCUGUAUGGAUCUAAAUGUAAGAAACGAUGAUAAUGGUGAAAUAAUAACAUUAUUUUAUAUAAUGAAAAUAUUGUGUAAUAUUUUCUGCAAUCAUAAUUUUUCAUAUGCACCCUUUCUACACUGUUUAAACAUGAUAUCAACAGUCAUGAUUCAGUUCUACAUAUAACGCUUUAAGAAUUUAUUCAUAAUUCGUUACCACUCAGCAGAGUCAAGUUUCUCCCAAUUGAAAUAACUAAAAACUAUCUGAAAGUAUACUGACUCAGGAAAGUUUGUCUAAUUUGGCACUACUGUCAAAAGAAUGCAAUUGCGUGAAAAUCUUCAUUAGUCAUUCUUCUGAAAUGAAGACAAGAGAAACAUUUAUAGAAGAAAUAACAUAAUUUAUGGAUUAUGUGAUUAUGUAUGUCUUUAUUACCCAUCCAAGCAUUAGUGGCCCAUCAACAUAAUACCUAGAGAUACACAAUAAAAAUUAGCUAUCUUUAAUAUUUUGCCAAUUUUCAGCUAUAUUAAAACCAUAGUUUUACACAUAUGAAGACUGUGAAAGAAAAUCUGAAAAUCAGAAGGAAUUGAAUGCAGAUGAAAAUCUAGAGCUAAAAUAUUGCUAAUAGCAGCAAAAGGGGGUA
rnacentral:lncRNA from 1 species